rnacentral:sRNA from 1 species
UACUCAUAACCGCAUCAGGUC